AUUUUCUCCCUGUCUUUUGUAUCUGUGUUCCCGCCUUUGGCUGAACACACCUGCAGAAAUCAACCACCUCUCCCAGAUGAUCUGAUCAGGAGGCCACCACAUAGGGUGGCGCCUGAGGCUCAUUCUUUGCUGAACUUUGCAGUUAGUUCAGAGCCGGUUUCUUAAUCUUGUGUGUAUGUCUUGCCUUUUUCUCAUGCAAGUAAUCCCAUUGUUCUUUUCCUCGGAUACAGACCUCUGGAUUUUUCCAUGCUCUGGAGUGUUUGGAGAGACUGCCUGAGUUGAGUGAAGAGAAUUGUAUUGUUUGGACCCCUGCAGCACCUAUGGAGGCCAAUUGCAGCCAACAAUCAAAAACUGAUUUUGAAAGGUUCUCGGACUCGUCUGUACCCCCGAUCUGUUUCCCUGGUGGCGUGGAGCGAGUGUGCUGAAAACAAAUACGAGAGGAGCGAGGGAGCGGAG
ensembl:lncRNA